AAUAAAAGGAGUGCCAAUAUGGGGGUAGGUACAGAAAAUGUGGCCAUUUCAGCAAUGAUGUAUCGCAAUCAAAGGAAGCAAAACACCAUCAUGAACAAUAAAAAAGUGACGGGCACACAAAUCAAGUUUAUAGUUGAAUCCUCUUCCAUUCCUCCCAAUGUAUAAUAACAGGGGAUCAAAAACUAAUGCAUGGGAACUAAAUAACAAAGCAGGCAAAACACACAUAAAUUUCAGAAGCGCAUACACUUACUUGUACUGAACAGCUACAACAAGAAUCGUUUCAUGGACUGAGCACCAUAAAUUGGUAUGGUUAGGAGCAACGGCCUUGAAGCAAU
rnacentral:lncRNA from 1 species